AUUUUACGGUCUUAUUGAACAAUGGCCGGAACUGUAGUGAAUCUAUGGUUAUAAAUCAUCAAAUUGCGGGAAACCCCUAAAGAAAUCUUAUCCAAACAGGCAUGGUAACAUAGUUUGUGGCACAGGUAAUGACUCGUGGUAUGGGAAAAUCAAGAUUUAUUAUUCAAUGGGCAAUCCGCAGCCAAGUACCAAGUUUAGGCUCUUGCCUUCGAAGGCAGGAUGGAAGCCUUAUUUGGUAUGCAGUUCAUCGACUAAACGGUGGUUGGUAUUAUUAAUUUGAAUAAUGCUUAAGAUAUAGUCAGCCCCCACCUGAAAAGGUGCA
rnacentral:ncRNA from 1 species